rnacentral:lncRNA from 1 species
GGAUUUCUCUGUGUAGCCCUGAAACUUGCUCGGUAGACCAGGCUGACCUCAAACUCACAGAGAUCCACAGGCCUCUGCUGGAAUUGAAGCUCUGGGCCACCGCUGCCACCAAAUCUUUUCCUUAAACGGCCCAGAGCUCAGCCUGUGGCCUCGGUGGGAACAAAGUAAAAUCUUGCAAUGAAGGCAGUCACAAUGCUGAGACUCCUACAUGUCACCAUCUACAUGGUUCAAUUCUUCUGCAGAGAGAGGUGUGAGGAAGAGCUGAGUCAGCACAGACAGGAUGCUUCUCUGGAGUGCUGGCAUGCGUGUAGAUCCUACAGCACCUAGCACCCUCAGUCUGGCCUCCUCGACUCUGGACUGCUGUAGACAAUCGCCAUGGGAUUGGUGGUGCGGAUGGAGAAUGGUCAGUGUUUACCAACAGGUGAUCAGGGCGGGAGGAUCGGUUGACACCUCUCUUGCAGAGCUGGGGGAGUCUCUCAGGACGAGUUUGUUCUCGUGAUGCUUAGUUCUGUUCUUGUGGACCUGGAUUCGUUUCCUUAAAAGCAGGUUCUCAUGAGUUGUGCCUGAUCCUUGGGUUUCUCCUCUUCCCCGUGCCUGCCCUUCCAAUUCUCUGUAAGCACAAGGCCAAGGUGGCUUCCUAGAAGCCAAGUGGAUGCCCACACCAGGCACUUGGACUUCAAGCCGCCACUGUUGAAAGCCAAAUGCUCUUCUUUAUAAGUUACCCUACCUCUGCCAUUCUGUCAUAGCAAUGGAAAGUGGACUAAGAGUCUUGAUAAAUUAAAAGAAUA